ensembl:lncRNA
CACUGUAUGUGUUUACCACUAUGACUGGGUAGGUCCCCACUGUAUGUGUUUACCACUAUGACAGGGUAGGUCCCCACUAUGUGUUAACCACUAUGACAGGGUAGGUCCCCACUAUGUGUUUACCACUAUGACAGGGUAGGUCCCCACUGUAAGCCUAAUAUUAAAGUAGUCUCGAGGUAUUGCUCGCCCGAGGUAGAGUACCUCAUGAUAAGCUGUAGACCACACUGUCUACCAAGAGCGUUCUCAUCGCCGUCUACAAACCGUUGCUGGUGCUAAGACCGCACUCCGUAGCCGAUGUGAGCAAGACCUUUAAACAGGCCGCGGGGCCAGACGGGUUACCAGGACGUGGACUCGGCGCAUGCGUGGACCAACUGGCAAGUGUCUUCACUGACAUUUUCAACCUCUACCUGACUGAGUCUGUAAUACCUACAAGUUUCAAGCACACUACCAUCGUCCCUGUGCCCAAGAAAGCGAAGGUAACCUGCCUAAAUGAUUACCACCCUGUAGCCAUGAAAUGCUUUGAAAGGCUCACAUCAACACCAUCAUCCCAGAAACCCUAGACCCACUCCACAGUGCCCUUUCCCACCUGGACAAAAGGAACCCCUAUGUGAGAAUGUUGUUCAUUGACUACAGCUCAGCGUUCAACACCAUAGUGCCCUCACAGCUCAUCACUACGCUAAGGAC